ACCAUAUUGGAGGCAUGAAACGUUGUAAAUGUUUUUUCAAGCAUAUCAUAAUCAGUGGUAGUAUCUCCACAGAGUUUCAAAUUAGAAGUAAUUCUGAACAUCGCAGAAUUAUAUUCAGAAACAGACUUAAAGUCUUGGAGCCUCAGAUGAGCCCAAUCAUAUCGUGCUUGUGGCAGAGUGACCAACUUUAAGUUGUUAUAUCUUUCUUUUAGGUCAUUCCACAAAAUAAGUGGAUCUUUGAC
rnacentral:lncRNA from 1 species